rnacentral:rRNA from 1 species
AGGAUUAACGCUGGCGGCGUGCAUGAAACAUGCAAGUCGAGCGCGGUGUGAUGCGGGGUAACCCAAUUCACAUCUAGCGGCGAACGGGUGAGUAACACGUGAGCAACCUACCUUUGAGUUGGGGAUAGCCCUGGGAAACCAGGAUUAAUACCCGAUGUGGUCACAACAGGACAUCCUGAUGUGAGUAAAGGCGCAAGCCGCUCAAUGACGGGCUCGCGGCCUAUUAGCUUGUUGGUGGGGUAACGGCCUACCAAGGCGAUGAUGGGUAGCUGGUCUGAGGGGACGAUCAGCCACACUGGGACUGAGACACGGCCCAGACUCCUACGGGAGGCAGCAGUUAGGAAUUUUCCGCAAUGGGCGAAAGCCUGGCGGAGCAACGCCGCGUGAGUGAUGAAGACCUUAGGGUUGUAAAGCUCUGUCGGAGGGGAAGAACACAAUGACGGUACCUCAAGAAAGCCCCGGCUAACUACGUGCCAGCAGCCGC